GUGCUUGAUUUAACAGCACAUAUACUAAAACUGGAAAGAUACAGAGAAGAUUAGCAUGGCCCCUGUGCAAGGAUGACAUGCAAAUUCGUGAAGUGUUCCAUAUUUUU
ensembl:snRNA U6 U6 spliceosomal RNA